AUGCGUAACGACAGCACGAUUACGAUUAACGGAGCGUAAGCGACGUUCAACACAAAAAUCAGGCAGUGGAGCGUUUUGGGGUGGGGUGACUGCGUACCUUUUGUAUAAUGGGUCAGCGACUUAUAUUCUGUAGCAAGGUUAACCGCAUAGGGGAGCCGGAGGGAAACCGAGUCUUAAUUGGGCGUUAAGUUGCAGGGUAUAGACCCGAAACCCGGUGAUCUAGCCAUGGGCAGGUUGAAGGUUGGGUAACACUAACUGGAGGACCGAACCGACUAAUGUUGAAAAAUUAGCGGAUGACCUGUGGCUGGGGGUGAAAGGCCAAUCAAACCGGGAGAUAGCUGGUUCUCCCCGAAAGCUAUUUAGGUAGCGCCUCGUGAAUUCAUCUCCGGGGGUAGAGCACUGUUUCGGCCAGGGGGCCAUCCCGGCUUACCAAUCCGAUGCAAACUGCGAAUACCGGAGAAUGUUAUCACGGGAGACACACGGCGGGUGCUAACGUCCGUCGUGAAGAGGGAAACAACCCAGACCGCCAGCUAAGGUCCCAAAGUCAUGGUUAAGUGGGAAACGAUGUGGGAAGGCCCAGACAGCCAGGAUGUUGGCUUAGAAGCAGCCAUCAUUUAAAGAAAGCGUAAUAGCUCACUGGUCGAGUCGGCCUGCGCGGAAGAUGUAACGGGGCUAAACCAUGCACCGAAGCUGCGGCAGCGAACGUAUCACCCAAGACAACUUUGCACAGUUGACGAUUGACGGAGCGAAGCGACGUCAAAGCGUUUUACAACGUCGAGUUGGCUUAGGGAUACGUUCGUUGGGUAGGGGAGCGUUCUGUAAGCCGUUGAAGGUGGCCUGUGAGGGUUGCUGGAGGUAUCAGAAGUGCGAAUGCUGACAUAAGUAACGAUAAAGCGGGUGAAAAGCCCGCUCGCCGGAAGACCAAGGGUUCCUGUCCAACGUUAAUCGGGGCAGGGUGAGUCGACCCCUAAGGCGAGGCCGAAAGGCGUAGUCGAUGGGAAACGGGUUAAUAUUCCCGUACUUGGUGUUACUGCGAAGGGGGGACGGAGAAGGCUAUGUUGGCCGGGCGACGGUUGUCCCGGUUUAAGCGUGUAGGUGUGUGUUCCAGGUAAAUCCGGUUCACUUUAACACUGAGGCGUGACGACGAGGCACUACGGUGCUGAAGCAACAAAUGCCCUGCUUCCAGGAAAAGCCUCUAAGCCUCAGGUAACAUCAAAUCGUACCCCAAACCGACACAGGUGGUCAGGUAGAGAAUACCAAGGCGCUUGAGAGAACUCGGGUGAAGGAACUAGGCAAAAUGGUGCCGUAA
rnacentral:rRNA from 1 species